rnacentral:sRNA from 1 species
CGGGCCCGGUAGCUGGGCCCGCAUCCCCGCGCCGCCGCAUCUCCUCGCCGCCUCCCGGGCUUCGGACCCCCGGUCUCGCCCCCGAAACAUGACUCGCGAUUUCAAACCUGGAGACCUCAUCUUCGCCAAGAUGAAAGGUUAUCCCCAUUGGCCAGCUCGAGUAGACGAAGUUCCUGAUGGAGCUGUAAAGCCACCCACAAACAAACUACCCAUUUUCUUUUUUGGAACUCAUGAGACUGCUUUUUUAGGACCAAAGGAUAUAUUUCCUUACUCAGAAAAUAAGGAAAAGUAUGGCAAACCAAAUAAAAGAAAAGGUUUUAAUGAAGGUUUAUGGGAGAUAGAUAACAAUCCAAAAGUGAAAUUUUCAAGUCAACAGGCAGCAACUAAACAAUCAAAUGCAUCAUCUGAUGUUGAAGUUGAAGAAAAGGAAACUAGUGUUUCAAAGGAAGAUACCGACCAUGAAGAAAAAGCCAGCAAUGAGGAUGUGACUAAAGCAGUUGACAUAACUACUCCAAAAGCUGCCAGAAGGGGGAGAAAGAGAAAGGUAAUUUCACUGACUUACCAACCACGGGGAUCUGAAAAGAAUUUUUAUUUUAAUUGGGUUGAGGGAGAGUAGAUACAAUGAAACCUUAAAUUUCAGCUUUUAU